rnacentral:tRNA from 1 species
GGAGGGAUAGGCUAAUUGGUAAGUCAGCAGCCUUGAAAGCUGCCGCCCGCAAGGGCUUCGGGGUUCGAGUCCCCGUCCCUCCG